ACGUUUUGACAUUUAAUUUUUUUUUUUGCAUCCCCUUUAGCUCUUACAAAAGCAGCAGCUGCUCUUCCUGUAGUCCACAAAAAAACAGGAAACAUGACAUAAUACAGAACAUUAAUAGACAGAACAGCUCAAAGACAGAACUACAUCAAUACUUUGUAGAAUCACCUUUGGCAGUGAUUACAGCUGUGAGUCUUUCUGGGUUUUGCCAUAGAUUUUCAAGCAAGUUCAAGUCAAAACUGUAUCUCGGCAUUCAUCCCAGUCAUCAGAAACAGAGCAUUGGGGUAGGUGCGUGUCUGACAUCAAUGCGUGCGCAAUUACAAUGAUAAUUUAACAUGUUCUAUUUCAGAAAAUGUUAUAUAACGUUAACAUACUGUUGACAAGUAGGCUAUGGUGUAAUGGAAUGUUUUCCCUUCUGUGGUUGGUUUUGUGGGGUUUGACACGCUUAUGUAUAAAAGUUGACACUCUUACACCAUAAAAUUACUACCGUGGUAGUGUCGUGGAAAUUACCACUAUGGACUCAAAGUCAAAGUUAAAUGAACAGAUCUCUAUUAUCAUGGCCGGAGAGGUUACAACAAACUAAAUAGUCAAAGUAGAAGUCUGUUAGAAGCUCUGAAGGGGUGCUCCUCUUCAACCCGUUGUACUGAAACUCGGCGUCUCUGCUCUCAGUUUGCAAUAAACUAAUAAUGACCUGUCACACGUGGCAUCUAGGCGUUGGGCUAAAGUAACAAUGUGCUUUCUGUUAUUCUUUCAGUUCCCUUCCUGAGAGAAAAGUCACAGAAAAUCCUGUGAUGACCCUCCCACUCUGUCUGCCAAAUUAUAUUUUCUCUUGUUUUCCUUAAUAGGAUGUCGGUGGGCAGAGCUGGGAGGGUCGUCAGCGACAUGGCACACACACACCUGGGCCCGGGUGUGUCCCGGGAUGAAUACACUUCUUCCCCAUUCAUUGAGGAGACUCUCUCCAUGCAGACACACAGAUAGAGUUUGGUUGUGGCCAUCUUGUGGCUGUUUUGUUUGUUUGUUCGUUUGCUUUGGCACCUUUCACCACCCGUCAUUAUCACAUUUAUGCACGCAAACACUCACACCACUGAUUACUGACUACACACACCGUUGUUAAUUGUAUUUAGUUUACUUCAGUUAAUAAAUAUAUUUUGGUUAACUCCGCUUUGUCUCCCUUUUUGUUACGAACUUCGAGCCAGUUCAUGACAAGUGUGGGCUCGUCCGGGAUCUUGAAGGUGUUGUGUUUGGGAGAAAACGUGGAGUUAAUGUUAAACUCUGUAGGUGCUUUGUUUGCAUCUUUUGUUACAGAUUUUUUCGAGUUGUAAUGUUUGUGCCCAGUAUUGGUUGCCUUUGUUUGUUUGGUAAACUUGCCACUGCAUUGGAUAGUUGGUUGUGUGCUGCAUUGGAGAGAGUAUAUUGGUUAGUUGCCAGGCCCCUGCCCAGGCUGGAGACUCUUGCUUUACUCGCUGUUGGGACAUUGGUCUGAGGAGGUGAGUACAAACGGCUGUGUACCUCAGUGGGAGAUUUGGGUAGGGUAGUGACACUUACUACCCGGAACUAUAGCCUUUCUUUUUCCCCUAAUAGGCUAAGCGACAUGUUUUCACUUUGGAAUACGUUGGGCAUGGUUAUUUUGUUUGUUAUUUUUAUGGGCUGAGCAGUUGUCUUGGGGGCACAUCUGUCGCUUUGGGGAAUAUGCCAGUGUGCUGGGUGGUUUAUUUUCUAUGCCAGCGGGCUACAUUGCGUAGUUACCCACCGCAAAUCCACAUGAAGACUAGGGUUGAGUUAUUGUAGGUUUUGGGGAAGCUCCAUAUAUAUCUCAUCUCUCUUCUGUGGUGCCCAGUGUGAUUGUCAUUUCUCUUGUGGUCCGGUCUGGUGUGCUCAGCAGAGGGGAAGAGCGAGAUAUAUAUUUUUUGUAUUUUCUUGUGACUAUGUUCAUUCGCUUUCCAUUAGAGGAACUGUUAGAAUGAUGUACUAAAGAGCAGCUGUUGAAGAUUGCUGAACACUACAAUGUUGAAAUUAGUGAUAAACGACCAAAAAUUCUGUUAGGUUGAUAUUGAAGGCCAAUCUGAUGGAGUGGUAUUCUUGAAGUUACCACUGGGGCAGCCUCUGCCGAGGAUUUGCUGUCUCCCCGUUUUGUUACAAUAGCCGCCCCAUCUGUUAGACCUAGUGGUCUGUCUUUUGAACAACAGAAAUAACUGCUUCUAAUACAACUAGAGCACGAUCGUGCAAAGUAUGAAAAGGAAUUGGCAUUUAAACAGGAUUUGGAGCGUUAAAAAAUCAAGUUGCAACAAGAGUGGCUACAGCUGGUUACGGAAAGAAGGUUCUCAGGGGAGAGUUUGCUCUGGGAAGUUGACCCAGAUUUAUCUAGGGGUUGUUCCUCUCUCGGUCGUGCCCUGGACUCGUUUGAUAUUUUUGGAAACUUACAGAUGUUUCCAAAAUUGAAUGAGAAGGACUCUGAGACGUUCUUUUUGUUAGAGCUUGUUGCUGUCUCGGGCGCCCUGUUCCUGAAUGUCUACGUGACUGACCAUUGUUUAUUUUGUUUGGCAUUGUCCUGUUCUGUCGCUCCUGUCUGUUCCCUUCUGGUCUUGUUUUCUUCUUUCCUCUUAAAGGCUGCUUCCUGUGCGCAAAGGUUGCUGAGGUCUGGGGAGAACGAGGUUGGCUGGGGCAAGUGGAAGUGUGAACACGUACCCCCUCAUGAAUUUGGGACGCAAGCUGGGUUAAUUUGGGAGGCAGGCUGGGGGAAUUUGUGACGCAGGCUGGGUGAAUUUGGGACGCAGGCUGGGUGAAUUUGCUAGGAUCCAGGGCAGUAUUUUGUUUGUGACUGGUAAUGUGUUCCGGGGUCCUUGUUGGUCCCCGGUUUUAUGGAGCGUGACGACCCUCCCAUUCUGUCUGCCAAAUUAUUUUUGCUCUUGUUUUCCUUAAUAGGAUGUCAGUGGGCGGAGCUGGGGUCGUCAGCGACACGGGACACACCUGGGCCUGGGAUAAAUACAGUUCUUCUCCAUUCAUUGAGGAGACUCUAUCCAUGCAGACGUACUGAUAGAGUUUGGUUGUGGCAAUUUUGUGGACUGUUUGUUUUGUUUUGUUUGUUUGUGUUUGUUUGUUUGCUUUGCUUUGGCACCUUUCAACACCCCACAUUAUCACAUUUAUGCACGCAAACACUCACUUACACUACUGAUUACUGACUACACACAACAUUGUUAAUUGUGUUUAGUUCACUUCAGUUAAUAAAUAUAUUUUGUUAUUCCUUA